rnacentral:hammerhead_ribozyme from 1 species
AUGCAGCUGACGAGUUCCAAAUAGGAUGAAACGCGCGUCCUGAAU